UACAGAGGGUGCGAGCGUUAAUCGGAAUUACUGGGCGUAAAGCGUGCGUAGACGGUUAUGUAAGUCGGGUGUGAAAGCCCCGGGCUCAACCUGGGAAUUGCAUUCGAGACUGCGUAGCUAGGGUGCGGAAGGAGGGAAGCGGAAUUUCCGGUGAGCGGUGAAAUGCGUAGAUAUCGGAAGGAACACCAGUGGCGAAGGCGAGUCCCUGGACAGGUCCUGACGCUGAGGCA
rnacentral:rRNA from 1 species